UUAAGCGACUAAGCGUACACGGUGGAUGCCCUGGCAGUCAGAGGCGAUGAAGGACGUGCUAAUCUGCGAUAAGCGUCGGUGAGGUGAUAUGAACCGUUAUAACCGGCGAUUUCCGAAUGGGGAAACCCAGUGUGUUUCGACACACUAUCAUUAACUGAAUCCAUAGGUUAAUGAGGCGAACCGGGGGAACUGAAACAUCUAAGUACCCCGAGGAAAAGAAAUCAACCGAGAUUCCCCCAGUAGCGGCGAGCGAACGGGGAGGAGCCCAGAGCCUGAAUCAGUGUGUGUGUUAGUGGAAGCGUCUGGAAAGGCGUGCGAUACAGGGUGACAGCCCCGUACACAAAAAUGCACAUAUUGUGAGCUCGAUGAGUAGGGCGGGACACGUGGUAUCCUGUCUGAAUAUGGGGGGACCAUCCUCCAAGGCUAAAUACUCCUGACUGACCGAUAGUGAACCAGUACCGUGAGGGAAAGGCGAAAAGAACCCCGGCGAGGGGAGUGAAAAAGAACCUGAAACCGUGUACGUACAAGCAGUGGGAGCCUCUUAAUGGGGUGACUGCGUACCUUUUGUAUAAUGGGUCAGCGACUUAUAUUCUGUAGCAAGGUUAACCGAAUAGGGGAGCCGAAGGGAAACCGAGUCUUAACUGGGCGUUAAGUUGCAGGGUAUAGACCCGAAACCCGGUGAUCUAGCCAUGGGCAGGUUGAAGGUUGGGUAACACUAACUGGAGGACCGAACCGACUAAUGUUGAAAAAUUAGCGGAUGACUUGUGGCUGGGGGUGAAAGGCCAAUCAAACCGGGAGAUAGCUGGUUCUCCCCGAAAGCUAUUUAGGUAGCGCCUCGUGAAUUCAUCUCCGGGGGUAGAGCACUGUUUCGGCAAGGGGGUCAUCCCGACUUACCAACCCGAUGCAAACUGCGAAUACCGGAGAAUGUUAUCACGGGAGACACACGGCGGGUGCUAACGUCCGUCGUGAAGAGGGAAACAACCCAGACCGCCAGCUAAGGUCCCAAAGUCAUGGUUAAGUGGGAAACGAUGUGGGAAGGCCCAGACAGCCAGGAUGUUGGCUUAGAAGCAGCCAUCAUUUAAAGAAAGCGUAAUAGCUCACUGGUCGAGUCGGCCUGCGCGGAAGAUGUAACGGGGCUAAACCAUGCACCGAAGCUGCGGCAGCGACACUAUGUGUUGUUGGGUAGGGGAGCGUUCUGUAAGCCUGUGAAGGUGGCCUGUGAGGGUUGCUGGAGGUAUCAGAAGUGCGAAUGCUGACAUAAGUAACGAUAAAGCGGGUGAAAAGCCCGCUCGCCGGAAGACCAAGGGUUCCUGUCCAACGUUAAUCGGGGCAGGGUGAGUCGACCCCUAAGGCGAGGCCGAAAGGCGUAGUCGAUGGGAAACAGGUUAAUAUUCCUGUACUUGGUGUUACUGCGAAGGGGGGACGGAGAAGGCUAUGUUGGCCGGGCGACGGUUGUCCCGGUUUAAGCGUGUAGGCUGGUUUUCCAGGCAAAUCCGGAAAACCAAGGCUGAGGCGUGAUGACGAGGCACUACGGUGCUGAAGCGACAAAUGCCCUGCUUCCAGGAAAAGCCUCUAAGCAUCAGGUAACAUCAAAUCGUACCCCAAACCGACACAGGUGGUCAGGUAGAGAAUACCAAGGCGCUUGAGAGAACUCGGGUGAAGGAACUAGGCAAAAUGGUGCCGUAACUUCGGGAGAAGGCACGCUGAUAUGUAGGUGAAGCGACUUGCUCGUGGAGCUGAAAUCAGUCGAAGAUACCAGCUGGCUGCAACUGUUUAUUAAAAACACAGCACUGUGCAAACACGAAAGUGGACGUAUACGGUGUGACGCCUGCCCGGUGCCGGAAGGUUAAUUGAUGGGGUUAGCGGUAACGCGAAGCUCUUGAUCGAAGCCCCGGUAAACGGCGGCCGUAACUAUAACGGUCCUAAGGUAGCGAAAUUCCUUGUCGGGUAAGUUCCGACCUGCACGAAUGGCGUAAUGAUGGCCAGGCUGUCUCCACCCGAGACUCAGUGAAAUUGAACUCGCUGUGAAGAUGCAGUGUACCCGCGGCAAGACGGAAAGACCCCGUGAACCUUUACUAUAGCUUGACACUGAACAUUGAGCCUUGAUGUGUAGGAUAGGUGGGAGGCUUUGAAGUGUGGACGCCAGUCUGCAUGGAGCCGACCUUGAAAUACCACCCUUUAAUGUUUGAUGUUCUAACGUUGGCCCGUAAUCCGGGUUGCGGACAGUGUCUGGUGGGUAGUUUGACUGGGGCGGUCUCCUCCUAAAGAGUAACGGAGGAGCACGAAGGUUGGCUAAUCCUGGUCGGACAUCAGGAGGUUAGUGCAAUGGCAUAAGCCAGCUUGACUGCGAGCGUGACGGCGCGAGCAGGUGCGAAAGCAGGUCAUAGUGAUCCGGUGGUUCUGAAUGGAAGGGCCAUCGCUCAACGGAUAAAAGGUACUCCGGGGAUAACAGGCUGAUACCGCCCAAGAGUUCAUAUCGACGGCGGUGUUUGGCACCUCGAUGUCGGCUCAUCACAUCCUGGGGCUGAAGUAGGUCCCAAGGGUAUGGCUGUUCGCCAUUUAAAGUGGUACGCGAGCUGGGUUUAGAACGUCGUGAGACAGUUCGGUCCCUAUCUGCCGUGGGCGCUGGAGAACUGAGGGGGGCUGCUCCUAGUACGAGAGGACCGGAGUGGACGCAUCACUGGUGUUCGGGUUGUCAUGCCAAUGGCACUGCCCGGUAGCUAAAUGCGGAAGAGAUAAGUGCUGAAAGCAUCUAAGCACGAAACUUGCCCCGAGAUGAGUUCUCCCUGACUCCUUGAGGGUCCUGAAGGAACGUUGAAGACGACGACGUUGAUAGGCCGGGUGUGUAAGCGCAG
rnacentral:rRNA from 1 species